CACGUAGGAGGCAAACGUUAUCCGGAUUUACUGGGCGUAAAGCGCGUGUAGGUGGUUCUGUAAGUAGGGCGUGAAAGCUCCCGGCUCAACUGGGAGAGGCCGUUCUAAACUGCAGAGCUAGAGGAUGGUAGAGGGAGGUGGAAUUCCAGGUGUAGCGGUGGAAUGCGCAGAUAUCUGGAGGAACACCAGUGGCGAAGGCGGCCUCCUGGACCAUUCCUGACACUCGGACGCGAAAGCUAGGGUAGCAAACGGGAUUAGAUACCCCGUAGUCCCUGAG
rnacentral:rRNA from 1 species